rnacentral:rRNA from 2 species
UGGGCGUAAGCGCGCGCAGGCGGUUUCUUAAGUCUGAUGUGAAAGCCCACGCCCUUACCGUGGAGGGUCAUUGGAAACUGGGGAACUUGAGUGCCUAUGAGAAAAGCGGAAUUCCACGUGUAGCGGUGAAAUGCGUAGAGAUGUGGAGGAACACCAGUGGCGAAGGCGGCCUUUUGGUCUGUAACUGACGCUGAGGCGCGAAAGCGUGGGGAGCAAACAGGAUUAGAUACCCUGGUAGUCCACGCCGUAAACGAUGAGUGCUAAGUGUUAGAGGGUUUCCGCCCUUUAGUGCUGCAGCUAACGCAUUAAGCACUCCGCCUGGUGAGUACGGUCGCAAGACUGAAACUCAUAGGAAUUGACGGGGGCCCGCACAAGCGGUGGAGCAUGUGGUU